rfam:Triticum aestivum genome assembly, contig: Triticum_aestivum_CS42_TGACv1_scaffold_211401_3AS
UGUGUACUCCCUCCAUUCCAAAAUACUUGACUUCCAUUUGUCCAAAAAUGGAUGUACCUAUAUACUAAAACAUGUAUAGAUACAUAUAUAUUUUGACAAAUAGAAGGCAUGUAUUGUGCAACGGAGGGAGUAGAAU